rnacentral:rRNA from 1 species
AUUGAACGCUGGCGGCAGGCCUAACACAUGCAAGUCGAACGAGUGGCGGACGGGUGAGUAAUGUCUGGGAAACUGCCUGAUGGAGGGGGAUAACUACUGGAAACGGUAGCUAAUACCGCAUACCAUCGGAUGUGCACAGAUGGGAGUAGCUAGGAGCGGGGGUAACGUCUCACCUAGGCGAAGAUCCCGAGCUGGUCUGAGAGUAGGACCCGCAACACUUGAACUGAGGCACGGUCCAGACUCAUACGUGAGGCAGCAGUGUGGAAUGUUGCACAAUGGGCGCAAGCCUGAUGCAGCCAUGCCGCGUGGAUGACGAAGGCCUUCGGGUUGUAAAGUACUUUCAGCGGGGAGGCGUUACCCGCAGAAGAAGCACCUGCUAACUCCGUGCCAGCAGCCGCGGUAAUAC